UAGGGAAUCUUCCGCAAUGGGCGAAAGCCUGACGGAGCAACGCCGCGUGAGUGAUGAAGGUCUUCGGAUCGUAAAACUCUGUUAUUAGGGAAGAACAAAUGUGUAAGUAACUAUGCACGUCUUGACGGUACCUAAUCAGAAAGCCACGGCUAACUACGUGCCAGCAGCCGCGGUAGUACGUAGGGGGCAAGCGUUGUCCGGAAUUAUUGGGGGUAAAGCGCGAGUAGGCGGUUUUUUAAGUCUGAUGGGAAAGCCCACGGCGCAACCGUCGAGGGUCAUUGGAAGCUGGAAAACUUGAGUGGAGAAGAGGAAAGUGGAAUUCCAUGUGUAGCGGUGAAAUGCGCAGAGAUAUGGAGGAACACCAGUGGCGAAGGCGACUUUCUGGUCUGUAACUGACGCUGAUGUGCGAAAGCGUGGGGAUCAAACAGG
rnacentral:rRNA from 1 species